rnacentral:rRNA from 1 species
UACAGAGGUCUCAAGCGUUGUUCGGAUUCAUUGGGCGUAAAGGGUGCGUAGGCGGCGCGGUAAGUCGGGUGUGAAAUCUCGGGGCUUAACUCCGAAACUGCAUUCGAUACUGCCGUGCUUGAGGACUGGAGAGGAGACUGGAAUUUACGGUGUAGCAGUGAAAUGCGUAGAUAUCGUAAGGAAGACCAGUGGCGAAGGCGGGUCUCUGGACAGUUCCUGACGCUGAGGCACGAAGGUCAGGGGGAGCAAACGGGG